rnacentral:rRNA from 1 species
CAGCACGGACUUCGGUCUGGUGGCGAGUGGCGAACGGGUGAGUAAUACAUCGGAACGUGCCCAGUUGUGGGGGAUAACUACUCGAAAGAGUAGCUAAUACCGCAUGAGAACUGAGGUUGAAAGCAGGGGAUCGUAAGACCUUGCGCAACUGGAGCGGCCGAUGGCAGAUUAGGUAGUUGGUGGGAUAAAAGCUUACCAAGCCGACGAUCUGUAGCUGGUCUGAGAGGACGACCAGCCACACUGGGACUGAGACACGGCCCAGACUCC